GUGACAUGAUGAAUCUGUUUAUCCAUUCUCUGAGUGGCAGCCAUCUUGUCUCUGGCCCUGCCCCUGUUCUGGGGGUGUGGCCUCUCCGCUGUGGUUCUGGAGUUGUCCGGUGUUCUACCGGAUGACGACGUGAAGCUAAACGGAGAGACUCGACGCAACUGUCGUAAAGAUGAAUGAACUGUUCUGAUCAC